rnacentral:rRNA from 1 species
CAGUAGCCCGGGAAUACGAAGGGUGCGAGCGUUACCCGGAUUUACUGGGCGUAAAGGGCGUGUAGGCGGCCUGGGGCGUCCCAUGUGAAAGGCCACGGCUCAACCGUGGAGGAGCGUGGGAUACGCUCAGGCUAGAGGGUGGGAGAGGGUGGUGGAAUUCCCGGAGUAGCGGUGAAAUGCGCAGAUACCGGGAGGAACGCCGAUGGCGAAGGCAGCCACCUGGUCCACUUCUGACGCUGAGGCGCGAAAGCGUGGGGAGCAAACCGGAUUAGAUACCCCAGUAGUCCCUGUCUCUUAUACA